rnacentral:SRP_RNA from 1 species
GCCGGGUGUGGUGGCACAUGCCUGUAAUCCCAGCUACUUGGGAGGCUGAGGCAGGAUAAUCACUUGAACCCGGGAGGUGGAGGUUGCAGUGAGCUGAGAUCAUGCCAUUGCUCUCCAGCCUGGGCAAUAAAAAGAAACUCCGUCUCAAAAAAAAAAAAAAAAUUUUUUUUUUUUUUUUUUUUUUUUGAGACAGAGUCUCGCUCUGUCGCCCAGGCUGGAGUGCAGUGGCGCGAUCUCGGCUCACUGCAAGCUCCGCCUCCUGGGUUCACGCCAUUCUCCUGCCUCAG